rnacentral:rRNA from 1 species
GUGGGGAAUAUUGGGCAAUGGGGGGAACCCUGACCCAGCAACGCCGCGUGAGGGAAGAAGGUUUUCGGAUCGUAAACCUCUGUCCUUGGUGAAGAGGAGAAGACGGUAGCCAAGGAGGAAGCCCCGGCUAACUACGUGCCAGCAGCCGCGGUAAUACGUAGGGGGCAAGCGUUGUCCGGAAUGAUUGGGCGUAAAGGGCGCGUAGGCGGCCUGGUAAGUCUGGAGUGAAAGUCCUGCUUUUAAGGUGGGAAUUGCUUUGGAUACUGCUGGGCUUGAGUGCAGGAGAGGUAAGUGGAAUUCCCAGUGUAGCGGUGAAAUGCGUAGAGAUUGGGAGGAACACCAGUGGCGAAGGCGACUUACUGGACUGUAACUGACGCUGAGGCGCGAAAGUGUGGGGAGCAAACAGG